rnacentral:rRNA from 1 species
GAUGAACGCUGGCGGCGUGCUUAACACAUGCAAGUCGAACGGAAAGGCCCAAGCUUGCUUGGUUACUCGAGUGGCGAACGGGUGAGUAACACGUGGGGGAUCUGCCCUGCACUUCGGGAUAAGCCUGGGAAACUGGGUCUAAUACCGGAUAGGAUGUUGGUUUCGAUGCCAUUGUGGAGAGUUUUUUCGGUGUGGGGUGAGCUCGCGGCCUAUCCGCUUGUUGGUGGGGGGUUGGCCUACCAAGGCGUCGACGGGGAGCCGGCCCGUGGGGGUGUAGGGGCGGACUAGAACCUGGAGGCGGGCCAGAGUACCUAAGGGGGCAGCAGGGGGGAAAAUUUGACAAAGGGGCGAAGCCUGAGGGAGGAAGGCCGCGGGGGGGAUGACGGCCUUCGGGUUGUAAACUCCUUUCGCUAGGGACGAAGCGUUUUUGUGACGGUACCUGGAGAAGAAGCACCGGCUAACUACGUG